GACGAACGCUGGCGGCGUGCUUAACACAUGCCAGUCGAACGGAAAGGCCCUGCUUUUGUGGGGUGCUCGAGUGGCGAACGGGUGAGUAACACGUGAGUAACCUGCCCUUGACUUUGGGAUAACUUCAGGAAACUGGGGCUAAUACCGGAUAGGAGCUCCUGCUGCAUGGUGGGGGUUGGAAAGUUUCGGCGGUUGGGGAUGGACUCGCGGCUUAUCAGCUUGUUGGUGGGGUAGUGGCUUACCAAGGCUUUGACGGGUAGCCGGCCUGAGAGGGUGACCGGCCACAUUGGGACUGAGAUACGGCCCAGACUCCUACGGGAGGCAGCAGUGGGGAAUAUUGCACAAUGGGCGGGAGCCUGAUGCAGCAACGCCGCGUGCGGGAUGACGGCCUUCGGGUUGUAAACCGCUUUCGCCUGUGACGAAGCGUGAGUGACGGUAAUGGGUAAAGAAGCACCGGCUAACUACGUG
rnacentral:rRNA from 1 species